CCUGGCUGCUUCCUGUGGGAGUUUGGAUGAUCUCCAGAGGUCCCUCACAAACCUAACCUAAAAAUCUGUUUAUCUGGGAAAUAGGUGUGAAAAGUGUGGAUGACUGGCAUGAGUUCCAGUGGUGCGUCUCCACAUAUACUCUGUGCACAGGUUUGAGGGUGACUGGAAAGAAGGGGUGAAAUGGUGGGCCUGGGCAGGUAACAGUCAGCAGUGAAAUUUAAAAUGUACUUUUUCCCCUCCGUUGAAGUGUACUGACAGUUUCCCUGAUAGACAUGGACAAAACAAACCAGGGAAUUUUCCACUACUGAUUCACAGUGCCCAGGUUGAUUUCACAUGGGAGUCCCCCGCGUGCAAAUAAAAAUGUGGCACUUCUGUGGGGUUUUUUUCUCCUUACCAAAUGAAAACCAAAAAGUUAGAACAAAACUGGUGAAGGACACUCUUGUUAGUCUCUCAUAGGAAUGGAUGAAUCUGGGUUUUUGGCCUUCACAGUGGUAAUUUAACAAAACAACCUUUCCCACCAAACAGGUCUAAGUUUUGGAUUAAUAUCACAGCUUUACACAGAACCACUGGUUCAGUAAAAAUUUCAGAGAGGUCUGGAGUGCAAAUCAUCGGGAAUGAUAUUUCGGUAACCAAAUUAGUUUUAACUUAACCAUGUUGCCACGCUCUUCCUCAGCAAGAAAAUGACAAUGUGUCUGUACUGAAGGGACAACCUGCCACACAUGGAAAGCACUGAUAAGCUGUUGGCAUGGGCAGUCCCCUUUCUGAGGUCGCUGCUGCCCUCUCAGCAACAGCAGACUUGCAGUGUCCUUGAGAAGAGAUGAGGAAAAGCAAUCCGGCAAGCCUUGAACAAGACCUGGGCACUGCCCCUGUAAAUGUGGAUGCUGCUGAGGAGACAGGAGCACUUGAUGCUGCACCCAGCAGGCCUGGCUGUCCAGCGCGAGGGAAUCAUCGUUCAUGGGCGAUUCCUGCAGACCUCCCAAUCCCUGUGCACACCAGAGGGACAUCAGCACAGACAGGAGAUGUGCACCAGCACUGCUGCUGCUGGCCUCUAUAGUGGGUUGGAUGGAAGCGAACAUUCCUUCUGGGAACUUGCUGACACCUGCUCAGGAUGAAGCUGAUACACCUAACUUACUGCCUGAAGUAAAAAAUACUACCCAGAGUAAUUACCCCAACAAACGUGUCAGAAAUAGAUACUUGGAAAUAAUAUUGCAGUGGCAAUAUUUCAUUACUUUAAACAUUCUGUCAUUCCCCCCAGAGUUCUCCUAGCAAGGUAGGCCAGCCCAGGCCCUGCAGUGAUCAUGUUUAACAGCAGCAUAAGGAGAAGUGACAGCCAGGGUUCCCUCCCACGUUAUUCAGUAUAGCAGCACACCCAAACUGAGCUGGGAAUAUAUGUAUUCACUGGAUAAUGUCUGUAUCGCAUUAACAAGCUUUGACACUAAUGCUAAUGCUUCACUAGAAGAAACAUGACAAGUAGGCUGGUUCAGUGUGCAUGUAGCACUGAAAGAUUUCUAGCACACACAGUGAGACUUGCGUUGCUGCUUGACAGCUCUGGCUGUCUCAAAUCUGCUCAGCCAGCAGUACUGCCUUCCCUCCCUUGGCUGCACUGGUGUCCUGUGCAGAGACCGAUUCUUCGUGUGCAGGCACGGGCAUUUCAUCCUCAGGGCUGUUUCCUUCGGGGUGUCCCUCGGCGGACGCUGCAGAGGGGAGCGAGGUCUGUGGCUUUGCCGGGUGUUGAACGGGUGACAAAGCCGACACUCCUGACGCUGCAGAGCUUGCAGAGAGAGUUUGGAGCAGGGAAAGUUUUUGCCGCCUCGUACGUGGCAACCCGACCUCAUCACCGAAACUUGGCAUCACCGAGGUGAAGCGGCAGAGCCCCGGGUUUAACAGCAGCAGAGCCCGCCCCAGCCGGGGCGUCUCGGAGCGGUGGCACUUGGGGCGGGAGGGCGCGCCGCAGCCGCGGGCCCCUCCCAGCGGGCACAGGGCGCGACAGCGAGCCGGCGGGGAAGGGAGGGAGAGGGGAGCCAAGGAAGGGAGCCGGCAGGACAGAACGGGAGCCGGCAGCGAAGGAAGGGAGCCGGCGAGGAAGGAAAGGGAGCCGGUAGCAAAGGACGAGAACCGGCAGCGAAGAACGGGAGCAGGGAGCGAAGGACUGGAGCCGGCAACGAAAAACGGGAGCGAAGGACGGGAGUAGGCAGCGAAAGAAAGGAGCCGGCAGCGCAGGAAGGGAGCCAGCAUGGAAGGAAAGGAGUCGGGAGCGGACACGCGAAGCGGGCUGCACGGCACAGGGAGCGCUCGGCACGGCGGCUGCCCGGCCCGGCGUGCGCAGGGCUCGCGUGGGCAGCGGGACGGUCCUGCCGCGCUCCGGGCGCUGACAGAAAGCUCGGACCCGAGUCAGCCAGGGAGCUCUCGGUCACAGCACCUUUGUGUUUUCAGAGCUUGGGAGCUGAUGCAGACCUGGCUGACGGCUUACGGCACGCCCGGCCAGGAGAUGCUUCUCAUCUCUCCGGCACUCUGGGAGAGGGGGAAACAGACACUGCACAGGGCCACCGGGCCCUGGCAGCUCCUUCCCAGCCUGUGCUUUCUGACUGCCAGAGAUUUUAGGGGCUGCCUGCCUCAGAGAACGGUCGGAGAAACAGAUUUCUUGUGACUGGGUGCAACACACCACCGUGGCAAGAUGGUAGAACCACCCCAGUUUCAGGUAAUCGUGUCCAAUUUCAUACUGAGGUUUUUUUAACAUCAAUGCUAGUUUCUUGCCAACAAGUUUAUAAUAUCCCUCAGCACCACAUCCAUCAACCCCAACUGGUCCACUGCAGCUGUCAUUAGAGGGGUGGAUUUUUGCUUUGUGGUGAGCAGUGAGGAGGCUGAUGUUCCAGCUGAUGCCCGGGCACAGGCCUCCUUACCCGAGGCAGGGAUGGGACCCUGCUUCCAGCUGGACUUGGAGGCUGAGCCAGGGAGAAACACCCAGGUGUCUGCUACAUGUAAUACUAAAUCUG